GGCGGGGUAGCUCAGUUGGUUAGAGCAGCGGAAUCAUAAUCCGGAGGUCGCCGGUUCGAAUCCGGCCCCCGCUACCA
rnacentral:tRNA from 1 species